rnacentral:rRNA from 1 species
UAGGGAAUCUUCCGCAAUGGGCGAAAGCCUGACGGAGCAACGCCGCGUGAGUGAUGAAGGUCUUCGGAUCGUAAAACUCUGUUAUUAGGGAAGAACAAAUGUGUAAGUAACUAUGCACGUCUUGACGGUACCUAAUCAGAAAGCCACGGCUAACUACGUGCCAGCAGCCGCGGUAAUACGUAGGUGGCAAGCGUUAUCCGGGAUUAUUGGGCGUAAAGCGCGCGUAGGCGGUUUUUUAAGUCUGAUGUGAAAGCCCACGGCUCAACCGUGGAGGGUCAUUGGAAACUGGAAAACUUGAGUGCAGAAGAGGAAAGUGGAAUUCCAUGUGUAGCGGUGAAAUGCGCAGAGAUAUGGAGGAACACCAGUGGCGAAGGCGACUUUCUGGUCUGUAACUGACGCUGAUGUGCGAAAGCGUGGGGAUCAAACAGG